CUUAAUAUAGAAGGUGAAGUAAUCGUUUCAGAUGGGUCACCUCCUCAAUUGCAUUUUUGCAGACGGAACAGAAUCGAAUUCCGUGAUGGAAACCAAUGAGACGGUGGUGGAAUUUACCUGUGAAAUCAGCGGUCCUCAAGGCUCUGGGCUCUACCCGGAUCCUACACUCUUACCGGAAGACCUUGAUAUUGAUCAAUCAGGAAAUUCACAGAAUCUACAAAUCUGUAACUGAGGCCAAGAUUAUUUUCAAGUCUGAUGAUACAGAUGACAACUAUUUCAACACCAACCUGAGUCCCAAAGAGUCAAGCCCCCCCCCCUACUGUUGCCACCACCGCAGCAAGGAGAUGCCCAACCCCUGUGCCCCUUGGCGUCUGACCCCAGACUGACUUGACCACACUGCCGUCUGCCUCCAUCAUGCUGAUAUACUUGGAUGUCGGCAGAGCUGGUAAAUAUUUGCCCGUGCAGGAGACAGCAAGUGGCGGUUUCUGCACAGGAGAGGCGAUGAGGCAACUCAUCCCCUUGUGUCAAUAGCGUGAAACCAACAAUGGCAGUGUGCGAUGAUGGCACGCUACCUGUUAGGUUCAGACAAGGGAGCUACCAAUGGCCGUGACCUCCAGACUCCACGGCUGCGCCUUUGGAGUAGCCGGCACAGAGCAGGGUGCUUCCUGCCCCGGAUGUCAGCUCUUCCCUGCGUUCUGCUGCCCUUCACCCCCUGGCUCGGCUGAACUUCAAGAUCACUGCAGCGACAUUUUAAUUUUUCCCAAGAGGGUUUAGGAAUCAAAUGUGUCCACUCUUGACCUCUGGGCUGUGAGUUCAAGUCCUUCGAUGGGUGUAGAGAUUACGUAAAAAGAAAAUCUUUAAUAAUGAUAAUAAUAAUAAAAUAAAUGUGUCCAUUACUUUGUCGCUAUUC
rnacentral:lncRNA from 1 species